UGGGGAAUAUUGGACAAUGGGCGAAAGCCUGAUCCAGCCAUGCCGCGUGUGUGAAGAAGGUCUUCGGAUUGUAAAGCACUUUAAGUUGGGAGGAAGGGCAGUAAGCGAAUACCUUGCUGUUUUGACGUUACCGACAGAAUAAGCACCGGCUAACUCUGUGCCAGCAGCCGCGGUAAUACAGAGGGUGCAAGCGUUAAUCGGAAUUACUGGGCGUAAAGCGCGCGUAGGUGGUUCGUUAAGUUGAAUGUGAAAGCCCCGGGCUCAACCUGGGAACUGCAUCCAAAACUGGCGAGCUAGAGUAGGGCAGAGGGUGGUGGAAUUUCCUGUGUAGCGGUGAAAUGCGUAGAUAUAGGAAGGAACACCAGUGGCGAAGGCGACCACCUGGGCUCAUACUGACACUGAGGUGCGAAAGCGUGGGGAGCAAAUAGG
rnacentral:rRNA from 1 species